CCGCCCCCGCCCUCUCACGGGGGUCGCUGGGAGAGACCACCGUCUCCCUGGUUGGAGAGCAGCCCCGCCCCGCACUCGCUUUGGCGUGGGGGUCCUCCCACCCAAACUCUCCCCGCUUCAGCUUCCUCCCAGUCUCCGACGCCCGGGACAGCCGCUCACCCCGGCUCAUCCCGUCUCAUCCCGGCAGCAUUUUCCCAGGCCCUCUCCGCAGUCCCCGCCCUCAACUCCUUACCACCGCUUGGGCAGCGAGCCACACCGCUCUUUGGCAGGGGUCGGGUCCAUGGCGGAUGGGUGGUCUCCUGGGGCUCGUGAGAGGGGCGGUGCGCCGUGCCGGGCUGGGGACGAAGCCGGGUGAGGGCGGCGACGCCGGGAGUCUGCAGUGUGCGAGCGAGAAGAGCGCCAGGAGAGCAGGUGCCUGUGGCGCGGAGAGCGCUGGAGCAAGCCGGCGAGCAGCGGCGUCUGGAUUUCAGUUUCCUUCUCAGUGGUGGAGGAGUCAUUCCCACCCGGUCAGGCCACUGUUGUUCAGAGGUAAGGCCUCCUUGGACAAGGUCUGGCUAGAACGAGAGGGGAUGUGGGGAGCCUCUCUUCUCUCCCUGGAGUUCCUCCCCAGGAGCUCCGAGAGGGGCAGGGGUCAGCCACCUUCUGUCAUUUCAUUGCCACACGCCCGGAGCCUUCCCUUAGAAAUGGCUUUGGGUCUGUGGCCCAUGAAUAUACAACCCCGUGGGGCUCCUGCUGUCCUCAGCACUGGAAGGGAGAGGGCAGGCUUGCACCGCGGCACAGGAAUCCAGGACCUGGUGGGAUUCUAGGAGAGUGGAUUCGUUUUGAGACUGACUCCCAGCAGGGUUCUGAUGGCAGGAGUAGCUGACUGCACAGAGGCCUGCCCUGAGACGCAGGGAUCUCCUGACACCAGAUCCAAGCAGUCAUCAGUGAUGGCCAAGGGGAUUUUGCCUGCAGCCAGGGGAGGUACAUCUUGGUUACCUUUAAGGAGCGGCUCAGGAAAUGCUGGUUGGGCUGAUGGAUGGCUUCAGAUCCAGGUCUCCAGGGUUUUCCACAUCUUUCUGGACCACCACCUAAAAGGUUUUGACCAGAGGACCCCCAUGUGGCUUCUGGAGCUGGGAGAUGCUCAGCAGCUCACCCCCAGGCCCCUGGGCUUGCUGCUGCAUCUCGCUUUGGCUGUUGAAGGGGAGCCCCAUCCUAUUGCACCUGUCCUGGGCUGACAUGGCCACUGCAGGCCUUAGGAAGGGCUCCCCUCUGGCCCCACCUAGGGGCCCCAGGGCCGGCUCAGGGUGCUGACUUUAGUCCUAUUUGGCAGGCCCUACGUGGUCACCAUCCUACCAUGCUGACCCCCCACUGGCCCUGCUCUUGCUCACCUGCUUGUCUGCUCAGCAAUUCUAGGUGACUCCAUCCAGCUCAAGUCUGUCUUUCUCCAGGAAGCUUUCCUUCCUCCAGGGUCAGCUGCCCUUGUUUUCUGUCCCUGCUCCCUAGGGGCCCUUGGAGUCCAGGGUUAAACUAUCACUCCGGGAAGGUCCUCACCUGCGUCCUGGCAGUGCCAUCUUUCAGCCCACUCCCUGCUCCUGCCCACAUAGAAGAUGUCUGGACUGAACCCCUUGAGGGCAGAGCUGCGCCCCACUCAUCCUCACAUCUGCCUGGCUCCUUGCCUGGCCUGCAGCAGGCACCCAAUGGGUGCCGGGUGGCAGGAAGCCGAGGCAGCUGUACAGCUCCUGGCGAGUUCUCAGGCCCAGGCCAUUCUCUCAAAGGGGCCUGGGGCUUUCCUGGCCUCAUCCUGGGUAGGUGGCCCCUCCCCACUGUGGGGUACAGUGUCCAGGGGACGGGCACAGAUUUAGCAUCAUCUUUGGCUUCAGAACCACAGGGCGUCAGGUCUGGGCAGCCAUGGAGAUCAUCUCUCUGCACAGCUGGAGUGCAAAUGAGGAAACUGAGGCACAGGGUCCAGAAAGGACAAAGUUCGCCAUGUGGGGCUCCCACCUGAGGCCUGAGCUGCCCACACCCUGGACCAUCGAGGCCCCUGCACCCACGGAGCUGAUGCCAGGUCCAGAGAGGCUCCCGACACAUGCCGUGACCUUCACGCCUGACUUGCCCCUUUAGAGUUGCUCCUGCUGAUGGACUGGCAGCUGCCGGCAUUGCUCGGUUUGUGAAAUGUCAGUGGUUUAAUAUCAAUUCUGGAGGUUUUUAUUGCCUUUCCCCCAUUUUCCGGUGGGAUUUUGAUCCAAUCAAGCCCGAUCCAGAGUGAUGGUAGAUUUGUGUUCCCGUCUGAACUUGACAAAAGGUCACCCUGCAUGGGGAGCUCAGGGCUGAUGUGGCUCUCCCAGCGUGAGUAUUUUCUCAACCCGUGGGCUCAGGGUCAGGCUGGCUUUCCCCUGGGAACACAGUUCCCCUGGAGAAUUCUCCAUGCAGCCCUUUGGCUGGGUCACGGCAUCUGGAGGAUUAAACUCGGGCAAUCACCGGCAGUAAAGUGCCCUGGUUUUAUUUAUAAACUAUCUUUGAUGCUUCAAACCAAAAUUAAUUUUUCACAGUAAUGUUUCGAAAUGUCAUUUUUCCAUUAAAAAAAAAAAAAGCUGUUGAAUGUGAUUCUUUGCUUGGGCAAGAGGUCUGAGGUUUGGAGGGAGCCUUGCUGAGACUGGGACCCUUUCCUCCUGUCUCUGCUCGGCUCCCUCCAUCCCAGGGAAGGGAACAUGCCGUCCUGGCUGUCCCAUGACCAGGGCUUCUGCAAGGGUGGAGAAUGGGUUCAGCAAUUUUUGUCCAGUUCUGACCUUCUCCCAUGGCCUUUUAGAAAGGUGAUAUUCAGAGCGAGCCGUUUGCAGCUCCUGCUGUGUGUAUGGCCCAGGGAGGGCUCCGUGAGGGUAGGUAGAGGCAGGCAAAUCCAGACAGAGAGAUCAAGGCCCUGGCUGGCUGGAAGGUGUGCCCGGAGCUCCCCAGUGGUGGGGGUUAGCGUGAGACUGGCCCCACACCAUCCCAAGUGGCCCAUCAGCCUGUGCUGUGGCAGGAGGGGCCGGCACGCAGCACAUUUGCUGACGUGUCCCCUGUCUGUCCCUCCCUGCUUACAGUGACAGAGCAGGGGAUGUUUCAUGGAAAGAAAGUGAAAGUGGCAGUUUAGUCUACUUGGAUUGUACCUGCCAGGUUUACAAAGGGUUGCACUCUCCCCACACCUGUCUCCCUCUCUGUGGACCUGGGGAGGGCUGGGGAGGACGCCCACCCUGCAUCCACACACUUGGCCAGCCCAUCACUGUGUGCACCCCCUCCCACAACCUGCAGCUCUCCCCUCUGAGGCAAUAUGAGAUGGGCAGGGGCCUUUGCAAAUGGGCCCCAGCCUGCUACCCCUGCCCUUUCUUCCAGGCAUUGGGAUCCCAGGAGUGUACCCUUGGGACACGGGUAGUGUGCACAAGUGGAGUGUGUUAAUGUGCACAGAUAGUGCAUAUGUAGAGAGCAUAUGUGCAUGUGUGAACAUGAACGUGUGUGUGCAGGCAAGAACAUGUGUGCAGAUGUAGUGCCUGUCUGUGAUCAGAGGGUAUGUACAGACACAGAGGAUGUGAGCAAAUGGGGUGGCUUUGCCCAGAUAGCUUAUGUGCAUGUGCAUGUGAGCACGUGAACAUGUGUGCAGACACGGAGGAUGUGAGCAAAUGGAGUACCUGUGCACAAGCAGCAUGUGUGUGUGUGUGCAAACGUGUGCAGACAAUAUCCCUGUGUGUGAUGGUAUGCCUCUGUGUGUGGUCAGAGAGUGGGUGUGCAGACAUGACACACAUGAGCAAACAGGGUGCCUGUGCAAAGUCGGUGUGUGUAUGUGCAUGUGAGUGCACAGAUGAUGUUUGCAUAGACAGGGGUACACUGGUGUGAGCAGACAACAUAGGUAUGUGUAAAUGAUGUGCAUAUAUCCAGACAGCAUGUGCACAGACAGCAUGCAUGUAAGAAGAGUGAGUGUGUGUGUGUGCGUGCAGGCUGGUGUGGGUGCACAGAUGGGCCAUGUGUGCACACACAAGCAGUGAAGCCAGUUCCAGCUCUGCCAUGAGCCUCCUAAGAGGGGGCUGAAGGAGAACAGGAAUCCAGAGCCCUCUCCUCCCUGUCUCCCCACACUUUCCCUUCCUCCCCUUCCUCCUUCCCCCUUCCUCUCUUCCCUUUUCCUCUCCUCCCAAUCCUUCUCCCUCCUCCUCCUCCCCUCCUCUAUCUAAUGAAAUAUUUUUCCCUCCUGUGACUCCAAAUCUGACCCCAACUCCUGCCCUGCCUCAUUCCUCAGAGCUGGUCCUUCUUCCCCAGCCUGGCUGCUUGCGGGGAGAGGGGAUGGUGAUCUUUACCUUCUACCGGGGAGUGGGCUCUGGGCUCUGGGGAGGGCAGAGAAUAGUGGGGACUGGGUCACACCAGCCCUGGUGCCCACCUGGGGGCGGGACGCUCCUCAGCUCUGGCCUGUUGCUGGUGUGUGGAGAGCAGGCCCAGUAUGGUCGGAUGCUCCAGGGUUUCAGAUGAAGCGAGAAAUCCAGGGUUUUAUGCGAAAUCUAAUUUUUAAAUGUUGUUUCCAUUACAAAAAUAAAACCUCCAGGGUCUGCAGGCUAGAUUUGGUCUGUGGAGGUCCAGUUUGCUGCAUCUGUUUAGCACCCUUGGGUCUCCAGGGCUCGUCCCUCCCCAGGCCCAGCUGCGGUCUCCGGGUGGGCCGCUGUGGGGGGAGUUCCCCUCUCAGCAUCUCAAGCUGGGGGCUGCGUAGACACAGCCACUGGGUUCGAUAGUGCAGACUCUGGUGGGGUAAUUAUUUCCAAAAAUAUUGACUUGUAAUGUGAAGAAAGCUCUUCUCCGUGCCACCCAUCAGCAGAAAAUUGCUUUCGGUAUUAACUUUUCAUCAACCGCAUAAUGUAUAAAUGCAUAAUUAGAAAUAAUAACCUGGGAAAAUUCACUCUUAUUUAUAAAAUUGGGCUUGUUAAAUUAAAACGGGAGCUAACGACUUCUCUCUCUCUGUUAAAACAUGUCUGAGGUGUUGCUGGCCUGGCUUGGCAGCGGGUGCCUGGACACACUGACGGCUUUGUGGGGAGACCCCGGAACUGGGCUGUCCCUCUGAGCAGGCACGGAUACCACCUGUCCAAAAGGUGGCUCUCUAAUAUUGUAAAUGGGCCUCUCAAAAGCAUCUUAAUCGACACACAACAAAUGGCGAUCUUUGUGGAA